ACGCUGGCGGCAGGCCUAACACAUGCAAGUCGAGCGGAAACGACACUAACAAUCCUUCGGGUGCGUUAAUGGGCGUCGAGCGGCGGACGGGUGACUAAUGCCUAGGAAAUUGCCUUGAUGUGGGGGAUAACCAUUGGAAACGAUGGCUAAUACCGCAUAAUGCCUACGGGCCAAAGAGGGGGAUCUUCGGACCUCUCGCGUCAAGAUAUGCCUAGGUGGGAUUAGCUAGUUGGUGAGGUAAUGGCUCACCAAGGCGACGAUCCCUAGCUGGUCUGAGAGGAUGAUCAGCCACACUGGAACUGAGACACGGUCCAGACUCCUACGGGAGGCAGCAGUGGGGAAUAUUGCACAAUGGGCGAAAGCCUGAUGCAGCCAUGCCGCGUGUAUGAAGAAGGCCUUCGGGUUGUAAAGUACUUUCAGUUGUGAGGAAGGGGGURWMGUUAAUAGCKKYRYMUCUUGACGUUAGCAACAGAAGAAGCACCGGCUAACUCCGUGCCAGCAGCCGCGGUAAUACGGAGGGUGCGAGCGUUAAUCGGAAUUACUGGGCGUAAAGCGCAUGCAGGUGGUUCAUUAAGUCAGAUGUGAAAGCCCGGGGCUCAACCUCGGAACUGCAUUUGAAACUGGUGAACUAGAGUGCUGUAGAGGGGGGUAGAAUUUCAGGUGUAGCGGUGAAAUGCGUAGAGAUCUGAAGGAAUACCAGUGGCGAAGGCGGCCCCCUGGACA
rnacentral:rRNA from 1 species